rnacentral:rRNA from 1 species
UUUGCCUGCUAUCUCUUACCCAUGUCUUUUGAGUACCUUCGUUUCCUCGGCGGGUCCGCCCGCCGAUUGGACAAUUUAAACCAUUUGCAGUUGCAAUCAGCGUCUGAAAAAACUUAAUAGUUACAACUUUCAACAACGGAUCUCUUGGUUCUGGCAUCGAUGAAGAACGCAGCGAAAUGCGAUAAGUAGUGUGAAUUGCAGAAUUCAGUGAAUCAUCGAAUCUUUGAACGCACAUUGCGCCCCUUGGUAUUCCAUGGGGCAUGCCUGUUCGAGCGUCAUUUGUACCUUCAAGCUCUGCUUGGUGUUGGGUGUUUGUCUCGCCUCUGCGCGCAGACUCGCCUCAAAACAAUUGGCAGCCGGCGUAUUGAUUUCGGAGCGCAGUACAUCUCGCGCUUUGCACUCAUAACGACGACGUCCAAAAGUACAUUUUUACACUCUUGACCUCGGAUCAGGUAGGGAUACCCGCUGAACUUAAGCAUAUCAAUAAGCGGAGGAAAAGAAACCAACAGGGAUUGCCCUAGUAACGGCGAGUGAAGCGGCAACAGCUCAAAUUUGAAAUCUGGCGUCUUCGGCGUCCGAGUUGUAAUUUGCAGAGGGCGCUUUGGCAUUGGCAGCGGUCC